rnacentral:rRNA from 1 species
GAUGAACGCUAGCGAUAGGCUUAACACAUGCAAGUCGAGGGACCGGCGCACGGGUGCGUAACGCGUAUGCAACUUUCCUCACAGAGGGGGAUAACCCGUCGAAAGACGGACUAAUACCGCGUACUGUGAGAUAGGCAUGCGUCCCAUUAGCUAGUUGGUGAGGUAACGGCGCACCAAGGCAACGAUGGGUAUGGGAAAUGAGAGGUUGAACCCCCACAAUGGAACUGAGACACAGACCAGAAUGCUACGGGAGGGAGCAGUUAGGAAUAUUGGGCAAUGGGCGAGAGCCGGAACCAGCCAAGUCGCGUGAAGGAUGACUGGCUAUGGAUUGUAAACUUCUUGUGUAGGGGAAUAUGUACCCUACGAAUAAGCAUCGGCUAACUCCGUGCCAGCAGCCGCGGUAAUUC